rnacentral:rRNA from 1 species
UACGUAGGGACCAAGCGUUGUUCGGAUUCACUGGGCGUAAAGGGCGCGUAGGCGGCGCGGUAAGUCACUUGUGAAAUCUCUGAGCUUAACUCAGAACGGCCAAGUGAUACUGCAGUGCUAGAGUGUGGAAGGGGCAAUCGGAAUUCUUGGUGUAGCGGUGAAAUGCGUAGAUAUCAAGAGGAACACCUGAGGUGAAGACGGGUUGCUGGGCCAACACUGACGCUGAGGCGCGAAAGCCAGGGGAGCAAACGGG